ensembl:lncRNA
GGACAUUUCUACAGAAUGUUUAGUGAGUGUUGAGAAGCCGCGCUAAAGAGGCGUCAUCCUUACCUUUUCUUUUGAUCUGUCCACUAUAGCGUUGUGGCUCUGAGCAGCGUCUUUGACCAGAUGACUUUCGCUGAGACAGCAGGAGCUCGCCCCAGUCCUGUUGGGCUACCUGAAGCAGAGACACGCCUCGGGCUCACCUUGUGGGUCCGACACAAGCAGCCUCAGUGCUUGGUUUGAGGAGAGCUUUGGCAAAUUCUCCAUCUAUGUGGAUUACAACGACCUCCGUGAGAUCAAUGCCGGCUUUCGACAGCGUAAGGAGCCCCGCCGCGCUAAACAAUUUGCUCCCAUGACUGUGGAGGGCAACCAUGUCAUUUGUUAAAAUGGUGUUGUUUUUCUCUUUUGCAGUUUGAGUCUUUGGACCUUCUGAGCGCUUCUCAAGUUGCUCAGCUGACACUACACUCUGGAGCGCUGA